rnacentral:rRNA from 1 species
CGGGGGUGACGCUUGUGGAAUGAGCGGCGGACGGGUGAGUAACACGUGGGCAACCUGCCUGUAAGACUGGGAUAACCCCGGGAAACCGGGGCUAAUACCGGAUAAUACUUUCUUUUGCAUAAAGGAAAGUUGAAAGGCGGCUUCGGCUGUCACUUACAGAUGGGCCCGCGGCGCAUUAGCUAGUUGGUGAGGUAACGGCUCACCAAGGCGACGAUGCGUAGCCGACCUGAGAGGGUGAUCGGCCACACUGGGACUGAGACACGGCCCAGACUCCUACGGGAGGCAGCAGUAGGGAAUCUUCCGCAAUGGACGAAAGUCUGACGGAGCAACGCCGCGUGAGUGAUGAAGGUUUUCGGAUCGUAAAACUCUGUUGUUAGGGAAGAACAAGUUGGGUAGUAACUGACCCAACCUUGACGGUACCUAACCAGAAAGCCACGGCUAACUACGUGCCAGCAGCCGCGGUAAUACGUAGGUGGCAAGCGUUGUCCGGAAUUAUUGGGCGUAAAGCGCUCGCAGGCGGUCCUUUAAGUCUGAUGUGAAAUCUCGCGGCUCAACCGCGAACGGUCAUUGGAAACUGGAGGACUUGAGUACAGAAGAGGAGAGUGGAAUUCCACGUGUAGCGGUGAAAUGCGUAGAGAUGUGGAGGAACACCAGUGGCGAAGCGACUCUCUGGUCUGUAACUGACGCUGAGGAGCGAAAG